AAACCAACAGGGAUUGCCCUAGUAACGGCGAGUGAAGCGGCAACAGCUCAAAUUUGAAAUCUGGCUCGGCCCGAGUUGUAAUUUGCAGAGGAUGCUUCUGGCGCGGUGCCUUCCGAGUUCCCUGGAACGGGACGCCACAGAGGGUGAGAGCCCCGUAUGGUCGGACACCAAGCCUGUGUGAAGCUCCUUCGACGAGUCGAGUAGUUUGGGAAUGCUGCUCUAAAUGGGAGGUAAAUCUCUUCUAAAGCUAAAUACCGGCCAGAGACCGAUAGCGCACAAGUAGAGUGAUCGAAAGAUGAAAAGCACCUUGAAAAGGGGGUUAAAUAGUACGUGAAAUUGUUGAAAGGGAAGCACUUAUGACCAGACUUGGGCCGGGCGGCUCAUCAGGGGUUCUCCCCUGUGCACUCCGCCCGGCACAGGCCAGCAUCGGUUCUCGUGGGGGGAUAAGACCGUCAGGAACGUAGCACCCUCCGGGGUGUGUUAUAGCCUGGCGGACGAUACCCCCGUGGGGACCGAGGUCCGCGCUCCGCAAGGAUGCUGGCGUAAUGGUCAUCAGUGAC
rnacentral:rRNA from 1 species